UGAAAAAAUGAGAGAAUUUCAAUUUCUUUGCAACUCCUCUCUAUAGUCGCUCUCGUUCAUCACUUUUGACCUACAUCUCACUUGCUCUCACUCACUCCUCUCCUCCCACACACUCUCCCUUGCGACUUCGAGACCCUCGUUCUCACUCUCUCAUAGUCACGACAAUCUUUGUUUGGAUUGCACAACUCGAUGGCUAUUACCUCGUUCAGAUCGCACACUUUCACGGUGGCUACGACCUUCGUUCUCUCUUGAUUCAGAUCGCACACUUUCUUCAUACAAGUCACAUGAAGAGGUCAAACGAUUUUGAUUCAAAGUCAUUCCUAAUUGGGAUGAUAUUGUAGACUUAUGUGCAAAGGAUAGAGCUACUGGACUCGAAGAAGAAAAUGCAUUAGAUGCGGAUGAUAUCAUGAGCAAAGAAAAAAAAUGAAGAGGAAGCAAUUCACGGUGUGAGUAUCGAUUUAGAGGGAUCAAGUUUUGCCUCAAGAAAAAACAUAUUCCCAAGUAAGAGUGGAGAGAAAGAAGGGAUGAUUUCCUUAAUGAAAGAAAAAGUCAAGUCAUUGAAGCGGUGAAUGAGCUAGAUAAUAUACCUAAUUUUAAUGGUGUACUUUGACAUAAAGCAAUUGAUUGGUUGAGAGAAAAUCUCAUUAUGUUUGCAA